rnacentral:rRNA from 1 species
ACAAGGUUUCCGUAGGUGAACCUGCGGAAGGAUCAUUACUGAAUAACUAAAUCUUUAGUUUUUCAUACCCCAUUGUUGACUUACCCAUGUUGCUUCCACGUGGACAGGCGUUCAUUCUGCCCUCUGGCUUGUUGUGCUUACCCCACACUUGACAGGGAGUUGCCCGUGGUAAGACCCCAAUAUUACACUUGUUAUAUAUACUAUAAUGUCUGAAUAAAUCAUUUCAAAUGAAAUAAAACUUUCAACAACGGAUCUCUAGGCUCUUGCAUCGAUGAAGAACGCAGUGAAAUGCGAUAAGUAAUGUGAAUUGCAGAAUCUCGUGAAUCAUCGAAUCUUUGAACGCACAUUGCGCCCUAUGGUAUUCCGUAGGGCAUGCCUGUCUGAGCGUCAGCUCCCCCCAACUCAAACUUUUGUUAGUUUGGAUUACUUUGAAGGUGUAGCUUGUCAAAGCUGCUUUUCAGAAAUUCAUAGGCAGUAUGGUUAUUCCUAGACCAGACGUAAUAAUAAUAAAACCGUCUUUUUGGGAAAGANAUUGUGCUUGCCUCAACCCACCCAUUAUCUUUUUACUUGGGUGACUCAGUCAGGUAGGGAUACCCGCGAAA